AAAUUUGAAAUCUGGCGCAAGCCCGAGUUGUAAUUUGUAGAGGAUGCUUCUGGGCAGCGGCCGGUCUAAGUUCCUUGGAACAGGACGUCAUAGAGGGUGAGAAUCCCGUAUGUGAUUGGCGCGCACCCUCCACGUAGCUCCUUCGACGAGUCGAGUUGUUUGGGAAUGCAGCUCUAAAUGGGAGGUAAAUUUCUUCUAAAGCUAAAUACCGGCCAGAGACCGAUAGCGCACAAGUAGAGUGAUCGAAAGAUGAAAAGCACUUUGGAAAGAGAGUUAAAAAGCACGUGAAAUUGUUGAAAGGGAAGCGCCUGCAACCAGACUUCGCGGCAGUGUUCCGCCGGUCUUCUGACCGGUUCAUUCUCUGUCGCGAGGCCAUCAUCGUCUGGGGCCGCCGGAUAAGAACGGAGGAAUGUAGCACGCCCUCGGGCGUGUGUUAUAGCCUCCGGUGAUGCGGCGAGCCCCGGGCGAGGUCCGCGCUUCGGCAAGGAUGAUGGCGUAAUGGUUGUCGGCGGCCCGUCUUGAAACACGGACCAAGGAGUCUAACAUCUAUGCGAGUGUUCGGGUGUCAAACCCCUACGCGUAAUGAAAGUGAACGGAGGUGGGAACCGCAAGGUGCACCAUCGACCGAUCCUGAUGUCCUCGGAUGGAUUUGAGUAAGAGCAUAGCUGUUGGGACCCGAAAGAUGGUGAACUAUGCCUGAAUAGGGUGAAGCCAGAGGAAACUCUGG
rnacentral:rRNA from 1 species